UGGCUUUGCUCGGGCGUUUCCUCCCUAGACUUGGGCCGCUUGUCAUCCACAAGCGGCUCUUCUUUUUUGGGUCU
rnacentral:sRNA from 1 species